UACAGAGGUCUCAAGCGUUGUUCGGAUUCACUGGGCGUAAAGGGUGCGUAGGCGGCGCCGUAAGUCGGGUGUGAAAUUUCGGAGCUUAACUCCGAAACUGCAUUCGAUACUGCGGUGCUUGAGGACUGGAGAGGAGACUGGAAUUCAUGGUGUAGCAGUGAAAUGCGUAGAGAUCAUGAGGAAGACCAGUGGCGAAGGCGGGUCUCUGGACAGUUCCUGACACUGAGGCACGAAGGCCAGGGGAGCAAACGGG
rnacentral:rRNA from 1 species